rnacentral:rRNA from 1 species
AGAGUUUGAUCCUGGCUCAGGAUGAACGCUGGCGGCGUGCCUAACACAUGCAAGUCGAACGGAGUUACUUUAGUGAAGUUUUCGGAUGGAUCUGAUUUAACUUAGUGGCGGACGGGUGAGUAAUGCGUGAGCAACCUGCCCUUCAGAGGGGGACAACAGUUGGAAACGACUGCUAAUACCGCAUAAUGUAUUCGGAAGGCAUCUUCUGGAUACCAAAGGAGAAAUCCGCUGAUGGAUGGGCUCACGUCUGAUUAGCUAGUUGGUGAGGUAACGGCUCACCAAGGCUGCGAUCAGUAGCCGGACUGAGAGGUUGAACGGCCACAUUGGGACUGAGAUACGGCCCAGACUCCUACGGGAGGCAGCAGUGGGGAAUAUUGGGCAAUGGGCGAAAGCCUGACCCAGCAACGCCGCGUGAAGGAAGAAGGCCUUCGGGUUGUAAACUUCUUUUAAGAGGGACGAAGAAGUGACGGUACCUCUUGAAUAAGCCACGGCUAACUACGUGCCAGCAGCCGCGGUAAUACGUAGGUGGCGAGCGUUAUCCGGAUUUACUGGGUGUAAAGGGCGCGUAGGCGGGAAUGCAAGUCAGAUGUGAAAUCCAAGGGCUCAACCCUUGAACUGCAUUUGAAACUGUAUUUCUUGAGUGUCGGAGAGGUUGACGGAAUUCCUAGUGUAGCGGUGAAAUGCGUAGAUAUUAGGAGGAACACCAGUGGCGAAGGCGGUCAACUGGACGAUAACUGACGCUGAGGCGCGAAAGCGUGGGGAGCAAACAGGAUUAGAUACCCUGGUAGUCCACGCCGUAAACG